rnacentral:snRNA from 1 species
CAAAGUGUAGUAUCUGUUCUUAUCAGCUUAAUAUCUGAUACGUCUUCUAUAUGAAGACAUCGAUAUUAAACUGAUUUUUAGAACGGGAUGAGGUGCCACGGGGCUUGCUCCGCCCUCAUCACGGGUU